rnacentral:rRNA from 1 species
AAUGAACGUUGGCGGCGUGGAUUAGGCAUGCAAGUCGAGCGGUCAUGAACUCUCACUUUGUUCUCUUUAUCGAGAGGGCGGAUUAAUUGAGAGGGUGAAGUGAGAGUUCAUGAUAGCGGCGAAAGGGACAGUAAUACGUAGAUACGUACCCUCAGGUCUGGGAUAGCCACGGGAAACUGUGGGUAAUACCAGAUAACAUCUCCGGAUCAAAGGUGUGAUUCCGCCUGAGGAGCGGUCUGCGUCCUAUUAGCUAGUUGGCGGGGUAACGGCCCACCAAGGCGAUGAUGGGUAGCGGGUGUGAGAGCACGACCCGCGUCAUUGGGACUGAGACACUGCCCAGACACCUACGGGUGGCUGCAGUCGAGGAUCUUCGGCAAUGAGCGCAAGCUUGACCGAGCGACGCCGCGUGCGGGAUGAAGGCUUUCGGGUUGUAAACCGCUGUCAGUGGGGAGGAAAUCUAGGUGGGUACUCCCAUCUAGUUGACCUAUCCGCAGAGGAAGCAAGGGCUAAGUUCGUGCCAGCAGCCGCCGUAACAC